GUGAAAAAACAAUAUUUCUAAGUUAAUUUUAUUGGUGUGGAGUUCUGGUAUACACACACACACACACCCCUAAUAUUACAGGUAUUCUCAUGGGACGAACUGCUCGAUGCUGUUUAAUUUUGUUCAAAACUCGGAUUAAAAUAGCCGAACUGUGACUAUAGGCAAGUUGGAGAAUUUUACAAGUCAGCUUGAAUUAAGAUUAUAGUACAAGGGUUAAUAAUUUUAAGUGAUUUGGCAUGAGGCUAUAUAUUAAGGCAAUGUUUAAAUUUUUUGGUAAUCACA